UUCCCCAUCAAUGAAAUGGGCACUAUCACACUUACCUUCUGAGGCAGUGCCGAGGAUGACAUUAAUGUCUGGAAAUCGCUUUGUGGCACCCAGCACAUGGGCGGGGUCCAUUACUUGGCCGCUGUCUCAUGCUGGGAUUUUUUUUUUUUAAAUCUGGAAACAUGAGGAGGGCCUCCUGUUCACAUUGGCUCCUGGGCGUUCUCUCAUGGAUUAGAGACUGCUGCAUGCAGGAACUGGACUAUCUAGGGCAGACAAGAGGAGUCUCUACAGAGCCUUCUGGAAACUGGCCCAGAGAAGCAACGAAUGGCACAGAGCCUUCUCUUUGAUGCUAUAGAAGCCAUUUGGGCAGAGGCCAUCUCACAGGGCCUUCUUUGCAUGGAGGGAGCCCCAGGCUUCUGUCCGCCCCACCCCAGACACAUCGUAUGCACUAUGCCAGCCUGGCCCUCUGGCCCGUGUCUGCACACAGCACGAAGAAGCCUUUGCUCUCUGCUGUCAGGAAGCUGCAUCUGUCGUAUCUCUCUCCUGUUAGACAGGCCUUACCAGGAGGCACCCAAGGCCAAUGCAAGGCCCUGCUGUGGAGUUUACAACUCAAACACAGGGCCUUUGUGCCAAGGGUGGAUGCUCUCCGCCCUGUUUGAAUUCUUGGGGGUUGAGUUUGGCAGAAUACAAAGUAUGGGGUCCCUAAGGGGUUCCUGA
rnacentral:lncRNA from 1 species